UUGCAGUGAUGUAUGAAUUUCUUCACCUGAAUCAGAUGUGUAGAUCAAAACACGAGCUUUUUAACCCUGAGCAAU